AUUUCUAGAUACCAUUUUUAGCUUAUAUAUAAUAUUAAUCUAAUGCAAUUGAAAAAAAAAUACUUUUAAUACUUCCACAAUGAAUCAUAUUAUUUCUGUUGUUGAUUUUUUUGGGUCAUUCAGGAGUGGAUGGCAGAAGUUGGUGAAUACUACUACCUAGCUAAGCGUACGUUGGACCAGUAUGCUUGAACACCUUUGCACUAGAGACAGUAUUCAGAAACCGUCCAAUCUUUCACUCCACUCUUUCUAUUUUCAAAGGCCACAGAGAUGAUUAGCCCGGUUCUCAAGAGUGUUUCUCCUGUUGAUAAUGUAGAAACCCUAGUAGUAAUCUGCCACUACAAUCAUAAAAAGGAAAUACACCCAUACAGGCAUACAGGGCCGUAGAACUUCAAUUAACACCCUUCUGAAUGUAGUAGAGCUGCGGCCAGAAAUGUUUCAGAGUAGAGACGUAGUAAAGCUUCAUUGUGGUUGUGUGCAGUGUGUCAUCUGAGAGCUUAUGCCCUCUCUCUCUCUCUCUCUCUCUCUCUCUCUCUCUCUCUCUCUCUCUCUCUCUCUCUCUCUCUCUCUCUCUCUCUCUCUCUCUCUCUCUCUCUCUCUCUCUCUCUCUCUCUCUCUCUCUCUCUCUCUCUCUCUCUCUCUCUCUCUCUCUCUGUGUGUGUGUGUGUGUGUGUGUGUGUAAGAACAAACCUGAGAAUUGCUAAAUAGAAUGAGACUGAUAGAGAAUGGAUAUGGAAUUAUAAGAGAGAGAGAGAGAGAGAGAGAGAGAGAGAGAGAGAGAGAGAGAGAGAGAGAGAGAGAGAGAGAGAGAGAGAGAGAGAGAGAGAGAGAGAGAGAGAGAGAGAGAGAGAGAGAGAGAGAGAGAGAGAGAGAGAGAGAGAGAGAGAGAGAGAGAGAGAGAGAGAGAGAGAGAGAGAGAGAGAGAGAGAGAGAGAGAGAGAGAGAGAGAGAGAGAGAGAGUGGGAAAGGACGAAGCGAAAAUAACAUUGAAUGAAGGAGAGAGAGAGAGAGAGAGAGAGAGAGAGAGAGAGAGAGAGAGAGAGAGAGAGAGAGAGAGAGAGAGAGAGAGAGAGAGAGAGAGAGAGAGAGUGGGAAAGGAUGAAGCGAAAAUAACAUUGAAUGAAGGAGAGAGAGAGAGAGAGAGAGAGAGAGAGAGAGAGAGAGAGAGAGAGAGAGAGAGAGAGAGAGAGAGAGAGAGAGAGAGAGAGAGAGAGAGAGAGAGAGAGAGAGAGAGAGAGAGAGAGAGAGAGAGAGAGAGAGAGUGGGAAAGGACAAAGCGAAAAUAACAUUGAAUGAAGGAGAGAGAGAGAGAGAGAGAGAGAGAGAGAGAGAGAGAGAGAGAGAGAGAGAGAGAGAGAGAGAGAGAGAGAGAGAGAGAGAGAGAGAGAGAGAGAGAGAGAGAGAGAGAGAGAGAGAGAGAGAGAGAGAGAGAGAGAGAGAGAGAGAGAGAGAGAGAGAGAGAGAGAGAGAGAGAGAGAGAGAGAGAGAGAGAGAGAGAGAGAGAGAGAGAGAGAGAGAGCGAGGUUCGACUCCUUUGUGCCUUAUCUCUGACAAAUAAGGGGGAGAGGACAUACGGAAAAGGAGAGUACAGGGGGGAAGUAAGAGAGAGAGAGAGAGAGAAAGACAGCCACCUGCGCCGCCCACCAGGUCAGUGAACGACCUUGGUUCAACAGUCAGUCACCACUGCAGACGAUGGUGUAUAUUUGGUAUUUAUCGAACCAUAAGCCUCACCCACAGCACACCAGUACAUCACACGAGUAGCAAGUAAUACAUUCAUUCACUUACGUGGAUGACAAUAGUUGCCUCACUGACGGCAUGAGUGGCUUCACUUGAACCUGAACCGAUGUUUGUGAUCCAGUUGGAGGACCGCGGUCGAAUUGGACCACAAGAUUUGUUCGCCAAUCCUGGUCAAGUUAUUAGAAUUGAAGAACGAUCGAAUCACAAGGCCUGCACCACACCUGCGAGGGAAGGAUGUCCCAAGGCUGCCUCCCAAUGUCACACCUUCUCCAGGCCUGCAUCACACCUGCGAGGGAAGGAUGUCCCAAGGCUGCCUCCCAAUGUCACCUUUUCCUGUCUCCGUCGCUCCAUCUUAGCAUACCUCACUUGCUCAUCCAGCUGCUGCCUGCAAGGUGGAGAAUGUUUACACCUGGAAACGUUGCAAUAAAUGAAGAAGGAAG